rnacentral:rRNA from 1 species
CGGUGUUUAACUGGCGUGAUGUGGGACGUCCUACCGGUGGGCUUAGCCUCGCGAGGGGCGGCCCAACUAAUAUCCCGUCGCGGUGCUCUUUACUGAGUGUCGAGUCGGGCCGGUACGUUUACUUUGAACAAAUUAGAGUGCUUAAAGCAGGCUAUCCUCGCCUGAAUACUGCGUGCAUGGAAUAAUGGAAUAGGACCUCGGUUCUAUUUUGUUGGUUUUCGGAACCCCGAGGUAAUGAUUAAUAGGGACAGAUGGGGGCAUUCGUAUUGCGACGUUAGAGGUGAAAUUCUUGGAUCGUCGCAAGACGGACAGAAGCGAAAGCAUUUGCCAAAAAUGUUUUCAUUAAUCAAGAACGAAAGUUAGAGGUUCGAAGGCGAUCAGAUACCGCCCUAGUUCUAACCAUAAACGAUGCCAGCUAGCGAUCCGCCGAAGUUCCUCCGAUGACUCGGCGGGCAGCUUCCGGGAAACCAAAGCUUUUGGGUUCCGGGGGAAGUAUGGUUGCAAAGCUGAAACUUAAAGGAAUUGACGGAGGGGCACCACCAGGAGUGGAGCCUGCGGCUUAAUUUGACUCAACACGGGAAACCUCACCAGGCCCAGACACCGGAAGGAUUGACAGAUUGAUAGCUCUUUCUUGAUUCGGUGGGUGGUGGUGCAUGGCCGUUCUUAGUUGGUGGAGCGAUUUGUCUGGUUAAUUCCGAUAACGAACGAGACUCUAGCCUGCUAAAUAGGCGUACCUUAUGGUAUCGCGAAGGCCCCCGGCUUCGGCCGGUGGGUUUUUACUACCAACGUACAAACAAAUCUUCUAGAGGGACAGGCGG